AAUCCAUGGUGUGGCCAUUGUCUGAGCAUGUUAUUAUAUCUAUCUCAUGCUUCAAAUAAAUAUUCUGAGUCUGAUUGUUUGAAGCUUGUAAUUAAAUUUCUCAUAUG